AGGGCUCAAGAUCAUGAUGCAUAUACUCCAUUGACAUGCUGUUUCAAGCAUGCGCUCAGGUGGAUCUAGCUACUAGCUACCACUAGCUCUAGCUCCUCUAGUUAGCUUGCCAUAAGAAGUAGUAGCAUUAGAUGCAUGGCUAGCUUAAUUUCAAUUAGAGCCAGCUAUAAAUAUUUUCUGGAUUAGUAAUUAAUUUAUCUCU
rnacentral:sRNA from 1 species